rnacentral:lncRNA from 1 species
AGAGGAAGCCCCAUAUGGACUGGAACUUCCUGGCCCUCUCUGCAGCCUCUUGCCCUCUCAUUGAUGCACUGACCAUAGGAGAUGAAGGUUACAUCGUUUUACCUGGCUACAGUGCUAAAAGCAAAGCAUCAUUAAAAUGGGAAAACUCAGCCAUGCAAAUGAGACAGAGAAAUUGCUGCCAACCAAGGCAGAGGAACUUUUCCAAGUCUGAACCCUAUCAGGCAGCAAGUUAGUAACUGUUUUGUGGAUUCAUUUGAUGAGCUGAUAAAUAUGAUAAGAGGGCACCUGAGGUGUUACACAAAUCAGGAGAAACUGAGAAUCUGUGUUUCUCAGAAGUCAGAGGCAGGAAUUUUUGUCUAGAAGAAGAAUUGUGACCUACUUAGAGGAAUCUGACUUAAGCCCCAAAUAAUGUUCUUGCUCAAGCAUGAAUUACAAGCAGCUGAAGAAAGAUGAGCUUUUGCACUUGUGCUGUAGCCAAGUUUGCCCACAUCUAAUGAGCAGAAGUACAAUUCGGUGCCAUUUUGUAUUCCCAGGAUGUGGUGCAGAUGGAGAAGCUGCUCUGAAUGUGGGUCCAGAAGCCGUUCACCCACUCCUCCAGGCACUCCACACAUCCUGCUUCAUGCCUCUCCUUGCAGAGCCUGGAGGUGGAAAGCAUCAGGUUCAAGAGCAGAGGGAGCAGCAGUAGCUGUGAGAAGCAGCCUUACAAACUGGAACCAGAGCUGGCAGCAGUGCUGGAGCACUGGGCAUGGAUUGGGCUGGAGAAAAACAAUUGACAGUUCUAUGCUCAGAAGCCUGGAGAGUGAGAAAGCUGCAGUCACCCGUGGAGGGAGGGGAAAUGCUAAGCUGCCCCACAUAAACUCAGCGGGCUGUUUAAAGAAGAUGCACAUGUCUGAGUGCUCUCCCUGCUGCCAUUCCUUUCUGCAUUUUGCCUCGACACCGUGGCACGGAUCAGCCGUGCCUCCAGGAGCCGCUGCCCAGCGUGGGCAGGACGGGAACGGGAGAGGGGCUGAGUGGGGGCACGGCGGCUGUGAGCGCACCUCAGCGAGGGGCUGGCACCAUCAAAUAUGCAUAGGCCCUUCUGCAGCAAACAAAUCUAUUUAAUUGAAAGGAAUCGGGAGGUGAAAAAUGAAACUUGGCAGUUCAGCUUCGCUCCACCAUUUGGUGGUUGUUGUGGGACUCCAGCAAAGGGAGCUAUCACUGCGGGCAUAAUUUACUUGAUUUUAAGGAUCCAUAUGAAUUCUGGCGACAUACCAAGUAGCCAUUAGCUAUGAGGAGUGUUUCCCGAUGCUCAUUUGUUUUCCAUGUGUGAAUUUUCACUCUUCCAAACUUUCUUUAGAAAAAAAAGUAGUUUUUCUUCAUCAAUUCCGUGUGGAAAAUAAAACAAAAAUACAGAUAAUAAAUUAUUCA